AAUGGACGAGAAGAAAGGAAACAAAAAGGCAAAACAAGCGGGAAGUAGGCAGUGCGUGCGAAGUGGGAACUAGUCUUUCGCCUUUUUAUACAACCGCACCAUGCGCUCGCCACAAUUCAUGGCUUACUCCAAUUCCUCGACAACUUAUAAGCAUUGGGAGCCCCCCAACUAACAAAAACUUUUUUAAAAAUUUUAGGAAUCGAAAAUCAUCUUCUAGAAGUAGGAGUAUCCAAAUCGUUUUCAUCCCCAAUUUUAGGUUUCUUCCAUCAGUUCGUAAAAAUGAACAAGCUGGGGUUUGCGCGCAAGGAGAAAGUUCAGCAAUUCAUGUCCGUAACUGGGGCAAGAGUCGGAUAUUGAAUUUUAGCAACUUUUAGCGCAUCUUAAAGAGGGUAAGGCGAAAGGAGCAUCUAUUUAUC